rnacentral:rRNA from 1 species
UGAGCAAUCUGCCCUUCACUUCGGGAUAACUCCGGGAAACCGGUGCUAAUACCGAAUACGACCACCCCAGGCAUCUGAUGGUGGUGGAAAGUUCCGGCGGUGGAGGAUGAGCUCGCGGCCUAUCAGCUAGUUGGUGGGGUAAUGGCUCACCUAGGCGACGACGGGCAGCUGGUCUGAGUGGAUGGCCAGCCACAUUGGGACUGAGACACGGCCCAGACCUCCUAGGGAGG